CAGCCCUCUUGCCUGAGCAAUCUGACACAGAGGCACAUGAGGAAUCAGCACGGAACCAUCGACCCACAGGGUUAAUCCCAAUGUCAAUACCUGCUAGAUGUCAGGGAUCCCCUGGGCUGCUGGCGAGCCAUUUGAAAUGACCCAUCUCCUGCUACCUUGGCCUGCUCCUCUGGGCCACCUCUCUCCACCUGCACUUGUUUACCGGAAGACGGCAAGGCCGCCGGCGCACUUCGCAGUGCCAGGAGAAAGGCGCCUCAUGCUAUUAGCUCAAAUAAGGAAAAUCAUGCCGGGAAGAUUGAAUUUUCUGCAGACUUGUUUAACCUGGUGAUUUCUGAGCACUUGGCGCUGGCAGCCACAGGGGAGUGGGCUGCCAGCCGGCACUUUAUCAGCCACUUCUCAGGAAUAUUCCUGGGCUUAUUAAAUCAGCAUGAGUCACUCCCUUGCCUUCCUUACAAGCAUGAAUCACGAAUCACCAAAACCCAAGCAAAA
rnacentral:lncRNA from 1 species